UCGUGACCAUGGGGGGGGGCGCAGUCUUGUUUGAACGCCUGCGUGAUAUCGCGAGAUUUGAACACUUCCGGGGACAGCCUGCACAAACACAGCAGCACUUCACACGGAAAAAA